GGGGCGGGUUUCGGACGGGAUACCUAUACCCAUCUCCAUACCUAUUCAUAAAAUUCAUCCCCAACCUCGUCCUCAUCCGAAUAUCAAUAUUCAUACACAUCCCAAACUCGUGGAUUUCGAAUACUCAUGGGUUUCGAAUACCAGUGGGUAUCCCCAUCCCCGCAUAACUUAUUAAUUAAAAUUUUAAACAUAAGACGACCACAUUAUCCAACUUCAAAAGACUUUAAAACAUAAAUCAUCAUUUUACAUUAAAACACAUAAUAAAAUAAUCUCAACAACACUGUCAUUGUCUUCAUUAAGAAUUGAGGUUUAUGAGGGUAAUAUAGUAAUAGGCC
rnacentral:lncRNA from 1 species